GUUAUCAAAUAAUUAAAUAUACAUGUAUAAUUAUAGUAUGUGUUAAAUGUCAAUAAAAUAAAAUUAAAAAAAAAUAACAAAUAAAUAAUAUUUUACAGUGAACACCCUCUUGGGAAAGCGCAAAAACAGGAAUAUUGCAAUUACUCAACAAGAGGUUCUCCUUUUAUUGCGAGCGUACCAAUCACACCCAUGCGCUUGGGGGGAAAUCCUUGAAGAAAUUCAAGGGAACACCAGCACCCUCCACUUACCAGCGCAACGGCUAUACAGAGAGUCUACAAUCAAACAGUUGAGGGAAAGGUUGUCCACAAGGUUAUCCAAACUAUUGAAGGACGGUUCAGAGGAUGCUAAUAUUCGGUUAGAACUGGGGAAAUUCGGGCUUUGGAAACAAAGCACACGGCCAAAAAAACCUUCUGAAUCAUUUGAAGUGCUGGUUCCCGGUCCUUCGGGACACAUGGCGAUAACGCGCCACAAGGUGGCCAUGGAGCUGAGCUCCAGUGAAGAAGAUGGUCCUCCUGUUCCUAAAAAAGCCAAUAAAGAGAUAGGAAAAGAAAAAAAA